rfam:Dipodomys ordii contig_18146, whole genome shotgun sequence.
GGUGGCUCAGUGGUAGAGUGCUUGCCUUGCAUGCAUGAGGCCCUGGGUUCAAUUCCUGAGUACCA